GCAGGGCCCAGUGGCUGACGGAGCCCAACGCCGACGCGGAGGAGCUCUUCCGCAUGGUGGGCGAGGUCUUCAUCUACUGGUCCAAGUCCCACAACUUCAAGCGCGAGGAGCAGAACUUCGUGGUGCAGAACGAGAUCAACAACAUGUCCUUCCUGACGGCCGACAGCAAGAGCAAGAUGGCCAAGUCCGGAGAUGGCCAGGUCAGUGG